rnacentral:rRNA from 1 species
UACAGAGGUCUCAAGCGUUGUUCGGAUUCAUUGGGCGUAAAGGGUGCGUAGGUGGCGCAGUAAGUCGGGUGUGAAAUUUCGGAGCUUAACUCCGAAACUGCAUUCGAUACUGCGGUGCUUGAGGACUGGAGAGGAGACUGGAAUUCCUGGUGUAGCAGUGAAAUGCGUAGAUAUCAGGAGGAAUACCGAUGGCGAAGGCAGGUCUCUGGGCUGACACUGACGCUCAUGCACGAAAGCGUGGGUAGCAAACAGG